rnacentral:rRNA from 1 species
GACGAACGCUGGCGGCGUGCUUAACACAUGCAAGUCGAACGGAAAGGCCCCCUUGUGGGGUACUCGAGUGGCGAACGGGUGAGUAACACGUGAGUAACCUACCCUUGACUUUGGGAUAACUUCAGGAAACUGGGGCUAAUACCGGAUAGGAGCUCCUGCUGCAUGGUGGGGGUUGGAAAGUUUUGGCGGUUGGGGAUGGACUCGCGGCUUAUCGGCUUGUUGGUGGGGUAGUGGCUCACCAAGGCUUUGACGGGUAGCCGGCCUGAGAGGGUGACCGGCCACAUUGGGACUGAGAUACGGCCCAGACUCCUACGGGAGGCAGCAGUGGGGAAUAUUGCACAAUGGGCGGAAGCCUGAUGCAGCAACGCCGCGUGCGGGAUGACGGCCUUCGGGUUGUAAACCGCUUUCGCCUGUGACGAAGCGUGAGUGACGGUAAUGGGUAAAGAAGCACCGGCUAACUACGUG